rnacentral:rRNA from 1 species
AACGAACGCUGGCGGCAUGCCUAACACAUGCAAGUCGAACGAGAUCUUCGGGUCUAGUGGCGCACGGGUGCGUAACGCGUGGGAAUCUGCCCUUUGGUUCGGAAUAACAGUUGGAAACGACUGCUAAUACCGGAUGAUGACGAAAGUCCAAAGAUUUAUCGCCAGAGGAUGGGCCCGCGUAGGAUUAGCUAGUUGGUGUGGUAAAGGCGCACCAAGGCGACGAUCCUUAGCUGGUCUGAGAGGAUGAUCAGCCACACUGGGACUGAGACACGGCCCAGACUCCUACGGGAGGCAGCAGUGGGGAAUAUUGGACAAUGGGCGGAAGCCUGAUCCAGCAAUGCCGCGUGAGUGAUGAAGGCCUUAGGGUUGUAAAGCUCUUUUACCCGGGAUGAUAAUGACAGUACCGGGAGAAUAAGCUCCGGCUAACUCCGUGCCAGCAGCCGCGGUAA